GUCAACGGCCAUAGCGGACGGGAAACACCUGCUCUCGUUCCGAACGCAGAAGUUAAGCCGUCCAGCGAUCUGUAUGGUACUGCUUAAUAAGUGGGAAGUACAGGACGCUGUUGACC
rnacentral:rRNA from 1 species